rnacentral:rRNA from 1 species
GAUGAACGCUAGCGGGAGGCUUAACACAUGCAAGUCGAGGGGUAAAUGGCAGCAAUGCUAUGAGACCGGCGAACGGGUGCGUAACGCGUAUGCAACUUACCUUAUGCAGGGGGAUAGCCCGUGGAAACGCGGAUUAAUAUCCCAUAGAUCAGUGGUAUCGCAUGGUACAGCUGGUAAAGCUCAGGUGGCAUAAGAUGGGCAUGCGUCUGAUUAGCUGGUUGGUAGGGUAACGGCCUACCAAGGCGACGAUCAGUAGGGGUUCUGAGAGGAUUAACCCCCACACUGGUACUGAGACACGGACCAGACUCCUACGGGAGGCAGCAGUGAGGAAUAUUGGUCAAUGGGCGGAAGCCUGAACCAGCCAUCCCGCGUGAAGGAAGAAGGCCUUAUGGGUUGUAAACUUCUUUUCUGUUUGAAGAAUAAGCUUGUCGAGACAAGUGAUGCCGGUAGGACAGGAAUAAGCAUCGGCUAACUCCGUGCCAGCAGCCG